rnacentral:pre_miRNA from 1 species
UUGAAGGAUUGGAAGACUUCAACUUGCAUACUUGAAGAAUUUAAAGAUUUCAACUUGCAAACUUGGCUGAAUUUCAAGACUUCAAAA